GGUAAAUAAAAUCAUGAAGUUGGACAUCAAUGGUGUGACACAAAUUGUCACACCCUAAUUCAAAAAAUCAUAACUCUCAAAACAGCAAUGAUAAAUUCACAAACUCUACACCAAAAUCACCAUGAAUGUGUCUAGUUUAAGCUCAAAAAAUUUGAGAGUCAUUGGAUAAGGUAUCAUCAUUUCACAAUUGAUUUGGCAAAGUGUGCAAAAAAAU
rnacentral:lncRNA from 1 species